GACGAACGCUGGCGGCGUGCUUAACACAUGCAAGUCGAACGGAAAGGCCCUGCUUUUGUGGGGUGCUCGAGUGGCGAACGGGUGAGUAACACGUGAGUAACCUGCCCUUGACUUUGGGAUAACUUCAGGAAACUGGGGCUAAUACCGGAUAGGAGCUCCUGCUGCAUGGUGGGGGUUGGAAAGUUUCGGCGGUUGGGGAUGGACUCGCGGCUUAUCAGCUUGUUGGUGGGGUAGUGGCUUACCAAGGCUUUGACGGGUAGCCGGCCUGAGAGGGUGAACGGCCACAAUGGGACUGAGAGACGGCCCAGACUCCUACGGGAGGCAGCAGUGGGGAAUAUUGCACAAUGGGCGGAAGCCUGAUGCAGCAACGCCGCGUGCGGGAUGACGGGCUUCGGGGUGUAAACCGCUUUCGCCUGUGACGAAGCGUUAGUGACGGUAAUGGGUAAAGAAGCACCGGCUAACUACGUG
rnacentral:rRNA from 1 species